GGACGAACGCUGGCGGCGUGCCUAACACAUGCAAGUCGAGCGAAGAGAUUACCAAGAAAUCUUCGGAUGGAAAGGUAAUCCUCUUAGCGGCGGAUGGGUGAGUAACGCGUGAGGAACCUGCCUUCCACAAGGGGAUAGCCUCGGGAAACCGGGAUUAAUACCCUAUGAUACUUAAAUAUCGCAUGAUAAAUAAGUUAAAGCGUUAGCAGUGGAAGAUGGCCUCGCGUCCCAUUAGCUAGUUGGUGAGAUAAAAGCUCACCAAGGCAACGAUGGGUAGCCGGCUUGAGAGAGUGACCGGCCACACUGGAACUGAGACACGGUCCAGACUCCUACGGGAGGCAGCAGUGGGGAAUAUUGCACAAUGGAGGGAACUCUGGUGCAGCGACGCCGCGUGAGCGAAGAAGGCCUUCGGGUCGUAAAGCUCUGUCCUAUGGGACGAUAAUGACGGUACCAUAGGAGGAAGCCCCGGCUAACUACGUGCCAGCAGCCGCGGUAAUACGUAGGGGGCGAGCGUUGUCCGGAAUUACUGGGCGUAAAGGGUACGCAGGCGGCCAUGUAAGUCAGAUGUGAAAGGCGUAGGCUUAACCUAUGUAAGCAUUUGAAACUGUGUGGCUUGAGUUAAGGAGAGGAAAGUGGAAUUCCUGGUGUAGCGGUGAAAUGCGUAGAUAUCAGGAGGAAUACCAGUGGCGCAGGCGACUUUCUGGACUUAAACUGACGCUGAGGUACGAAAGCGUGGGGAGCAAACAGGAUUAGAUACCCUGGUAGUCCACGCCGUAAACGAUGAGUGCUAGGUGUCGGGAGGGAACUUUCGGUGCCGCAGUUAACACAUUAAGCACUCCGCCUGGGGAGUACGUUCGCAAGAAUG
rnacentral:rRNA from 1 species